rnacentral:rRNA from 1 species
AUUGAACGCUGGCGGCAGGCCUAACACAUGCAAGUCGAGCGAGCGGCGGACGGGUGAGUAAUGUAUGGGGACUGCCCGAUAGAGGGGGAUAACUACUGGAAACGGUAGCUAAUACCGCAUACUAUAGGCUAACCCCUAUGGGAUUAGCUAGUGGGUGAGGUAAUGGCUCACCUAGGCGACGCUCCCUAGCUGGUCUGAGAGGAUGAUCAGCCACACUGGGACUGAGACACGGCCCAGACUCCUACGGAGGCAGCAGUGGGGAAUAUUGCACAAUGGGCGCAAGCCGGAUGCAGCCAUGCCGCGUGUAUGAAGAAGGCCCUAGGGUUGUAAAGUACUUUCAGUCGGGAGGCGUUACCGACAGAAGAAGAACCGGCUAACUCCGUGCCAGCAGCCGCGGUAAUUC